CGGAGAGAGUGGGAUUCGAACCCACGGUGCCCCGGCAGGAGCACACGGCAUUUCCAGUGCCGCCCGUUCGGCCACUCCGGCAUCUCUCC
rnacentral:tRNA from 1 species